rnacentral:rRNA from 1 species
AUUGAACGCUGGCGGCAGGCUUAACACAUGCAAGUCGAGCGGGGUGAUGGUGCUUGCACUAUCACUUAGCGGCGGACGGGUGAGUAAUGCUUAGGAAUCUGCCUAUUAGUGGGGGACAACAUCUCGAAAGGGAUGCUAAUACCGCAUACGUCCUACGGGAGAAAGCAGGGGAUCACUUGUGACCUUGCGCUAAUAGAUGAGCCUAAGUCGGAUUAGCUAGUUGGUGGGGUAAAGGCCUACCAAGGCGAGGAUCUGUAGCGGGUCUGAGAGGAUGAUCCGCCACACUGGGACUGAGACACGGCCCAGACUCCUACGGGAGGCAGCAGUGGGGAAUAUUGGACAAUGGGGGGAACCCUGAUCCAGCCAUGCCGCGUGUGUGAAGAAGGCCUUAUGGUUGUAAAGCACUUUAAGCGAGGAGGAGGCUCUUCUGGUUAAUACCCAAGAUGAGUGGACGUUACUCGCAGAAUAAGCACCGGCUAACUCUGUGCCAGCCGCCGCAGUAA